AACGAACGCUGGCGGAAGGCCUAACACAUGCAAGUCGAGCGAGGACUUCGGUUCUAGCGGCAGACGGGUGAGUAACGCGUGGGAACGUACCUUUUGGUUCGGAACAACACAGGGAAACUUGUGCUCAUACCGGAUAAGCCCUUACGGGGAAAGAUUUAUCGCCGAAAGAUCGGCCCGCGUCUGAUUAGCUAGUUGGUAGGGUAAUGGCCUACCAAGGCGACGAUCAGUAGCUGGUCUGAGAGGAUGAUCAGCCGCAUUGGGACUGAGACACGGCCCAAACUCCUACGGGAGGCAGCAGUGGGGAAUAUUGGACAAUGGGGGCAACCCUGAUCCAGCCAUGCCGCGUGAGUGAUGAAGGCCCUAGGGUUGUAAAGCUCUUUUGUGCGGGAAGAUAAUGACGGUACCGCAAGAAUAAGCCCCGGCUAACUUCGUGCCAGCCGCCGCGGUAACAC
rnacentral:rRNA from 1 species